CACACACUUCAUCUAUAGAAAGAAGGACACACAUACACCCUUCUAAAGCUGAAGUGUGUGUGUGUGUGUGUGUGUGUGUGUGUGUGUGUGUAUUGAAUCUUUAAAUUGUGUGUCUGUGGUCAGGGUGGAAUCAGAAAUAACACAAAAAGAAGUUCUGUAAUGAUUCCUCACAACACACACACACACACACACACACACACACAUUGUAUUUAUAUCUGUAAAUAACAGUAUUUCAGCUCAGAUAAAACCUCCAAACAAACUAUAACUAGGCAUUAUUUUGUAUCGUGUAUUAGGAGCGUGAGUGUUUUUUGUAAGUAUGGGAUGUUUUGUUCAGGCCUAACAGGAACCCAGAGUCAAAUAUGGAGCCGAUCCGCAUCUUCAGGAGUGAUGUAGGUAGACGUCCUGCUUUACCGCACGGCCGAGACCCUGGAACGAGCGCGCGUUUAGAAAACGCACUCAUCUCGUCCCUGUGUGGAACGCCAUGCCCGGUGUCUCCUCACAUGAUCUGCAGCCAGCAUGACCAAGCGCAUGAACUCCUUGGGGUCGAAGGUGU